GAUUUCUGGUUUAAUGCACCUGGCCCGCGGCCAAUAGGCUUGUGAGUGCCGGCGCGCGUUUACCAUCCAGAUUCUGCCAUUCACUUGGUUGGGACCGCGAUCUAGAUCUUUUACUUUGAAAAAAUUAGAGUGUUUAAAGCAGGCUUUUGCUAUGAAUACAUUAGCAUGGAAUAAUAAUCUAGGACUUCGGUUCUAUUUUGUUGGUUUCCAGAGGUGAAAUUCUUGGAUUCGGUCAAGACUAACUUAUGCGAAAGCAUU
rnacentral:rRNA from 1 species